rnacentral:rRNA from 1 species
GAUGAACGCUGGCUACAGGCUUAACACAUGCAAGUCGAGGGGAAACGGCAUUGAGUGCUUGCACUGAAUGGACGCCGACCGGCGCACGGGUGAGUAACGCGUAUCCAACCUUCCCGUUACUGCGGGAUAACCUGCCGAAAGGCAGACUAAUACCGCAUGUUCUUCGAUGACGGCAUCAGAUUCGAAGCAAAGAUCCGUCGGUAACGGAGGGGGAUGCGUCUGAUUAGCUAGUUGGCGGGGCGACGGCCCACCAAGGCGACGAUCAGUAGGGGUUCUGAGAGGAAGGUCCCACACAUUGGAACUGAGACACGGUCCAAACUCCUACGGGAGGCAGCAGUGAGGAAUAUUGGUCAAUGGGCGGAAGCCUGAACCAGCCAAGUAGCGUGCAGGAUGACGGCCCUACGGGUUGUAAACUGCUUUUAUGCGGGGAUAAAGUGAGGGACGCGUCCCUUUUUGCAGGUACCGCAUGAAUAAGGACCGGCUAAUUCCGUG